AUUGAACGCUGGCGGCAGGCUUAACACAUGCAAGUCGAGCUGUAACAGAGAGGAGCUUGCUUCUCUGCUGACGAGCGGCGGACGGGUGAGUAAUGCCUAGGAAUCUGCCUAGUAGUGGGGGAUAACUUGCCGAAAGGUAAGCUAAUACCGCAUACGUCCUACGGGAGAAAGGAGGGGACCUUCGGUCCUGUCGCUAUUAGAUGAGCCUAGGUCGGAUUAGUUAGUUGGUGAGGUAAUGGCUCACCAAGACCGCGAUACGUAACUGGUCUGAGACUAUGACCAGUCACACUGGAACUGAGACACGGUCCAGACUCAGACGUGAGGGAGCAGUGGGGAAUAUUGGACAGGGGGUGGAACCCUGAUCCGGUCAUGCCGCUUGUGUGAAGAAGGUCUUAGGAUUGUAAAGCACUUGAAGUUGGGAAGAAGAGCAGUUAACUAGUAUUUGACUGUUUUGACGUUACCGACAGAAUAAGCACCGGCUAACAUCGUGCCAGCCGCCGCGGUAA
rnacentral:rRNA from 1 species